rnacentral:rRNA from 1 species
GUAGUGAUAUGCUUGUUUCAAAGAUUAAGCCAUGCAUGUCUAAGUAUAAGCGAACUUAUACAGUGAAACUGCGGAUGGCUCAUUAAAACAGUUUGAAUUUAUUUGAUGAAUGUAUGAGAAUACUACUUGGAUAACCGUAGUAAUUCUAGAGCUAAUACAUGCAACGACGCCCGACCGUUUCACUACGGAAGGGCUGUAUUUAUUGGAUACCAAAACCAUCCUUCCCUCGGGAAGUUUUGUUUGAUGAUUCACAAUAACUGAUCGGAUCGCCACUGUGGUGGCGACAGGUCAUUCAACAUUCUGCCCUAUCAGCUUUCGAUGGUUGUGUAGUGGACAACCAUGGCCAUAACGGGUAACGGAGAAUCAGGGUUCGACUCCGGAGAAGGAGCUUGAGAAUUGGCUACUACAUCUAAGGAAGGCAGCAGGCGCGCAAAUUACCCAAUCCCGAUUCGGGGAGGUAGUGACAAAAAAUAACAAUACCGGGCCUUUUUGGGCUUGGUAAUUGGAAUGAGGGAGAGUUAAACGGACCAUCGAGUAUCCAUUGGAGGGCAAGUCUGGUGCCAGCAGCUGCGGUAAUACCAGCUCCAAUAGCGUAUAUUAAAGUUGUUGCAGUUAAAAAGCUCGUAGUUGGACUUGUGUGCGCUGUCCGCGGGUGGCCUGCGCCCAAAAGGGCGUUUCGGUUCGGCCCCGGUGGCGCCUUGAAAUCUGCAGCUGAGGGGACGUUGGCCUUAACUGGUCGGCGACCGCACGCCGGCUGCUCGGUUACUGUGAGAAAAUUAGAGUGUUCAAGGCAGGCAUUGGGUGCAAUUGAAUACAUUAGCAUGGAAUAAUAAAAUAUGGCUCCUGCCGUAUUUUGUUGGUUUUGACUGGUGGGAGUAAUGAUUGAUAGGGACGGUUGGGGGUGCUAGUAUUGAGCGGCCAGAGGUGAAAUUCAUGGAUUCGCUCAAGACUAACUUAUGCGAAAGCAUUCACCAAGGACGUCCUCUUUAAUCAAGAACGAAAGUUGGGGGGUCGAAGACGAUCAGGUACCGUCGUAGUCUCAACCAUAAACUAUGUCGACUUGGGAUCGGCGGUAGUUUUUUCAUUAAGACACUGUCGGGACCACGGGAGAAAUCAAAGUGUCUGGACUCUGGGGGAAGUAUGGUCGCAAGGCUGAAACUUGAAGGAAUUGACGGAAGGGCACCACCAGGAGUGGAGCCUGCGGCUUAAUUUGACCCAACACGGGGUAACUUACCAGGUCCAGAGAUGUAGAGGACUGACAGAUUGAAGCUCUU